UACACGACUCAGCAGUUGGUGGCGUAAUGGCCAGAGCAGCAGGGAUAGGAUUGUUGCUGGAUUCCCCAAAUGAAAGCGAGAGCAGGAUUUGCGCAAUGAUGAGCAGCAUCAGCAAUCCCCUGUGAAACAGAUUUCCCUGAACUGCUGUGGGGAAAUGCCUCCACUUUGUUUCCUAGGAACUGGUGGGUCUCUCCAAUAGAGGGGAGGCCUCGGGCACCCUGAGGUCAGCUGUGCCUCUUUAGCAGCUCAAUCACUCCUAACCUUCCUUUUCUGCAUAUCUCAUUUGUCAGAGGCAGACCAGCUGUUCUGAGAGUCAAAGCUUUCUUCCUGGAGGGUAUAUGAGGCUAUGAGGCACGAGAGGAAGGAAGGCAGGGGAAACAACUGGCCUCUUCAUUGCCUUUCUUUAUUUCUGCUUUCAAUGGAGCUAUAAAUGUCACUUCCCUCCUAAUGUAGCUGGAGAUUGAGGCACUCCUGCUACUGAAAAGGUUCACGUGGUUCUAGCAGUGAGGAACACAGGUCUUCAUAUUUCCUUCUCCUUUCCAGUGCUUCAGUGACAUUAUGGGCCUAUGCGUGGGAGGCAGUUUCCAAUUUUGUUCCUGCAGUCAGCUGUGGUUGCAGUGAAUGCCCUCUGGAGAUCCAGCUACCUGAUGCUCUCUGCACAUUAGGAAGAUAAUUAACAAUUAUCAUUUGUGACUUUAGUUGUUUCCAUAUGCAGAAGAAUGUAGCUGCAACAAAGAUCUCUGUGCCCCUUGGAAAAAUGAGAGCCUAAACUUGUUAGCAGUUAUAUUUCUUAUUUAUAUAGUGUAUUUGAAGUGAAUCUGAAGUCAGGAAGGAGGAUCUAAAAUUAGCUCAUUGGGGCAAUUAAAUUUGUUGGUCCUUUGCAGAUUGAUUAAAAUGUACUCUCCAGGAGGAGAGAGGAAAUUGCAUCUCACUAAGGACCAGAAAGAAGUGGCCCUGAAGUUUUUCUGAGACACACAAUCAAGAACACAGCUUCAGUAAAGGAUAAUGAACAAAGAGCACUUUGCGCAAUUACCACUGCCCCAGCCUCAUGCUGGGGACGUUGCGAUCACUGCAGUGGUAUCCAUUUGUUCAGGAGAGACUCCUUCCACUGCCGUGUGCCACUCCAGUCACUUUCUGAUGCCUUGAUUUCAGCUGGAUGGAUUUCCUGCAGGGCAAUGCCCAAGCAGAUGUGUAGCAUGCGGAGCCAUUUAAUCCCAAACAGAGUGGUUUAAUAAAAAAAAAAAAAAA